rnacentral:tRNA from 1 species
GGGCUCUUAGCUCAGCUGGAAGAGCGCCUCGUUUACACCGAGGAUGUCGGGGGUUCGAGUCCCUCAGGGCCCA